rnacentral:ncRNA from 1 species
UUUUGGCUAUAAAAUUUAUUAAUUUUAUAUUUUACAUGUAAAUUUUUGUAAGAUUUUAAUAUAUUUUUAAUAAAUAUCUUAGAUUUUUUAUUCGCAGUAUUUUAUUUUAUAAAUUAAAGAAAUUUAGAUUUAGUAAUAAAAUUAAAUAUAGGUUAAUUUUGUGCCAGCAUCCGCGGUUAUACAAAUUAUAUGAAUAAAUUUUAUUAUUUUGUAGUUAAAUGUUGAUUAUAAAUAAAAAAUUAAUUUUAAAGGUGAAAUUUAUUAAAAUAAUUAAAAUUUAUUGAUUUUUUUUUUGAAACUAUUAAAUUUUAUUAAUAAACUAGGAUUAGAUACCCUAUUAUUAAAAACUUAAAUUAAUAAAAAUUAGGUAGUAAUAGUUAUAGUCUUGAAACUUAAAAAAUUUGGCGGUAUUUUAGUCUAAUUAGAGGAAUCUGUUCCAUAAUCGAUAAUCCACGAUAAAUUUUACAUAAUUUUAUUUAAUUUGUAUAUCGUCGUUAUAAGAAAAUUUUAUAAGAAUAAAAAUUUUCUAAAAUUUUUAUUAAAAUUUAUUUCAGAUCAAGGUGCAAUUUAUAAUUAUGAGGAAAUGGAUUACAAUAAAUUUAUUUAAGUUGAAUAAUAAAAUGAAUUUUUUAUUUGAAAUUGGAUUUAAUAGUAAUUUAAAUUAUAUAAUUUUUUUGAUAUUAGCUCUAAAAUAUGUACAUAUCGCCCGUCACUCUCUUUAUUUAAAAAGAGAUAAGUCGUAACAAAGUAGAUGUACUGGAAAGUGUAUCUAGAAUGAAUUU